UACGAAGGGGGCAAGCGUUGUUCGGAAUUACUGGGCGUAAAGGGCGCGUAGGCGGCUUAUCAAGUCAGGCGUGAAAUUCCCGGGCUCAACCUGGGGGCUGCGCUUGAUACUGAUGAGCUUGAAUGCGGGAGAGGAUAGUGGAAUUCCCAGUGUAGAGGUGAAAUUCGUAGAUAUUGGGAGGAACACCGGUGGCGAAGGCGGCAUCCUGGACCGGCAUUGACGCUGAGGCGCGAAAGCCAGGGGAGCAAACGGG
rnacentral:rRNA from 1 species